GAUGAACGCUGGCGGCGUGCCUAAUACAUGCAAGUCGAGCGAACAGACGAGGAGCUUGCUCCUCUGACGUUAGCGGCGGACGGGUGAGUAACACGUGGAUAACCUACCUAUAAGACUGGGAUAACUUCGGGAAACCGGAGCUAAUACCGGAUAAUAUAUUGAACCGCAUGGUUCAAUAGUGAAAGACGGUUUUGCUGUCACUUAUAGAUGGAUCCGCGCCGCAUUAGCUAGUUGGUAAGGUAACGGCUUACCAAGGCAACGAUGCGUAGCCGACCUGAGAGGGUGAUCGGCCACACUGGAACUGAGACACGGUCCAGACUCCUACGGGAGGCAGCAGUAGGGAAUCUUCCGCAAUGGGCGAAAGCCUGACGGAGCAACGCCGCGUGAAUGAUGAAGGUCUUCGGAUCGUAAAACUCUGUUAUUGGGGAAGAACAAAUGUGUAAGUAACUAUGCACGUCUUGACGGUACCUAAUCAGAAAGCCACGGCUAACUACGUG
rnacentral:rRNA from 1 species